rnacentral:sRNA from 1 species
UCCCGGGGUCGGAGGCCGAUUCGCCGUGUGGCGGGUUCGAGUCCCGCCUCCUGACUCUGGCCUCUAGUCCCUGAGUCCCGGGCGGGCUGCAUUCGCCGGGGAAACCUCUCCUCGACCAGGGGCACCUCUACUCGACCAGGGGCGACGGCGUACUUUGGGCUUCAUCAUGGAGGACUACCUGCAGGGUUGUCGAGCUGCUCUGCAGGAGUCCCGACCUCUACAUGUUGUGCUGGGAAAUGAAGCCUGUGAUUUGGACUCCACGGUGUCUGCUCUUGCCCUGGCUUUUUACCUAGCAAAGACAACUGAGGCCGAGGAAGUCUUUGUGCCAGUUUUAAAUAUAAAACGUUCUGAACUACCUCUGCGAGGUGACAUUGUCUUCUUUCUUCAGAAGGUUCAUAUUCCAGAGAGUAUCUUGAUUUUUCGGGAUGAGAUUGACCUCCAUGCAUUAUACCAGGCUGGCCAACUCACCCUCAUCCUUGUCGACCAUCAUAUCUUAUCCAAGACUGACCACUGAGCAGAUGCUGAGAAAGGACCAGAAGACUAUCUAUAGACAAGGCGUCAAGGUGGCCAUUAGUGCAAUAUAUAUGGAUUUGGAGGCCUUUCUGCAGAGGUCUAACCUCCUUGCAGAUCUCCAUGCUUUCUGCCAGGCUCACAGCUAUGAUGUCCUGGUUGCCAUGACUAUCUUUUUCAACACUCACAAUGAGCCAGUGCGGCAGUUGGCUAUUUUCUGUCCCCAUGUGGCACUCCAAACAACGAUCUGUGAAGUCCUGGAACGCUCCCACUCUCCACCCCUGAAGCUGACCCCUGCCUCAAGUACCCACCCUAACCUCCAUGCCUAUCUUCAAGGCAACACCCAGGUCUCUCGAAAGAAACUUCUGCCCCUGCUCCAGGAAGCCCUGUCAGCAUAUUUUGACUC